rnacentral:rRNA from 1 species
GACGAACGCUGGCGGCGCGCCUAACACAUGCGAGUCGAACGGAGCUGCGAGAAGCUUGCUUUUCUUAGCUUAGUGGCGAACGGGUGAGUAACGCGUGAGUAACCUGCCCUGGAGUGGGGGACAACAGUUGGAAACGACUGCUAAUACCGCAUAAGCCCACGAUCCGGCAUCGGAUUGAGGGAAAAGGAUUUAUUCGCUUCAGGAUGGACUCGCGUCCAAUUAGCUAGUUGGUGAGGUAACGGCCCACCAAGGCGACGAUUGGUAGCCGGACUGAGAGGUUGAACGGCCACAUUGGGACUGCGACACGGCCCAGACUCCUACGGGAGGCAGCAGUGGGGGAUAUUGCACAAUGGGGGAAACCCUGAUGCAGCGACGCCGCGUGGAGGAAGAAGGUUUUCGGAUUGUAAACUCCUGUCGUUAGGGACGAUAAUGACGGUACCUAACAAGAAAGCACCGGCUAACUACGUG